AUUGAACGCUGGCGGCAGGCCUAACACAUGCAAGUCGAGCGGAUGAAGGGAGCUUGCUCCUGGAUUCAGCGGCGGACGGGUGAGUAAUGCCUAGGAAUCUGCCUGGUAGUGGGGGAUAACGUCCGGAAACGGGCGCUAAUACCGCAUACGUCCUGAGGGAGAAAGUGGGGGAGCUUCGGACCUCACGCUAUCAGAUGAGCCUAGGUCGGAUUAGCUAGUUGGUGGGGUAAAGGCCUACCAAGGCGACGAUCCGUAACUGGUCUGAGAGGAUGAUCAGUCACACUGGAACUGAGACACGGUCCAGACUCCUACGGGAGGCAGCAGUGGGGAAUAUUGGACAAUGGGCGAAAGCCUGAUCCAGCCAUGCCGCGUGUGUGAAGAAGGUCUUCGGAUUGUAAAGCACUUUAAGUUGGGAGGAAGGGCAGUAAGUUAGUACCUCGCUGUUUUGACGUUACCAACAGAAUAAGCACCGGCUAACUUCGUG
rnacentral:rRNA from 1 species